rnacentral:rRNA from 1 species
CAGCACCUCAAGUGGUCAGGAUGAUUAUUGGGCCUAAAGCAUCCGUAGCCGGCUCUGUAAGUUUUCGGUUAAAUCUGUACGCUCAACGUACAGGCUGCCGGGAAUACUGCAGAGCUAGGGAGUGGGAGAGGUAGACGGUACUCGGUAGGAAGGGGUAAAAUCCUUUGAUCUAUUGAUGACACCUGUGGCGAAGGCGGUCUACCAGAACACGUCCGACGGUGAGGGAUGAAAGCUGGGGGAGCAAACCGGAUUAGAGACCCGCGUAGUCC